rnacentral:rRNA from 1 species
UAAGCCCUACGGGGCGCAGCAGUAGGGAAUUUUCGUCAAUGGGCGCAAGCCUGAACGAGCAAUGCCGCGUGAACGAGGAAGGUCUUCGGAUCGUAAAGUUCUGUUGAAGGGGAAAAAGAGCGGAGAGAGGAAAUGGUCUCCGAUUGAUAUUACCCUUCGAGGAAGUCACGGCUAACUACGUGCCAGCAGCCGCGGUAAUACGUAGGUGGCGAGCGUUAUCCGGAAUGAUUGGGCGUAAAGGGUGCGUAGGCGGCCUGCUAAGUCUGGAGUGAAAGCCCGGGGCUCAACCGCGGGACUGCUUUGGG